rnacentral:lncRNA from 1 species
GAUUGGCCAAAAGAAGUGUUGUGUCUAGAAAUGUUCGCACAUGAAUCGUCAUAGGGCGUGCUACCCAUUGCUGGUCUCACCCAUGGGUCUUUAGCAUUGCAGUAAUUACUGCUAUGAACCGCCGAAUACCUACCACAGCUUUAAGCUACUGGCUUUCCUGGGCUCUUCUCCAGCUUUCCAUGAGGACUACAGUGCAUCUCAUUUCAAGUAACCAACUGGAUGGCUGCGGGACGACAAGAGAAGCCCUUAGGAGUGAGCCAGGACAAAGAAGAGAUGGCUGGCAAGUAGCAGGAGAUAGAGCAGUGCAGAGUUGUGGACACCGUCCCGGAGUUGAAGAUUGCCUGCUCCUGCUUAACUCGAAUCUUGACCAGGUGAAUUAACUUCUCUAAGCCUCAGUUUUCCUUCCUGUGGAUUUCAGGAAAGAAGAGAGUGAUGUCGGCAAUAUGGCAGAUAAGGAAACUCCAGACCCUUGUUCAUCCAUAGAAGAUACUUUAAAAAAGAAAACUAGAGACUACUAAAAUAGCUUUAUAGGAGCUCUGGAAACCAGUCAAAGAUCUACAGCAACGAACUGACUACUCAAUAAAGAAAAGCCACAUUCAACAUUCAACAUGGUAGGAUACUUAGCGGCAUUUUUUUCUCUCCCUUAUCCUACCACCUCCCCAGCAUGGCACAGUCAGGAAGGAGCUGCCCAAUUCCUAGCUCCUCCCUCAGGCUGGAAGGAACAGAGUAGAACUCAUAUGUAACAUCUUAAUCAAUCUGUGGGCUACCUGAGGGAUUGGCUUCUGUCUGGCCUGAAUCAGGGCAUAGAGAAGGAACAGCAGCAUAGCUCAGAUCUUGGUCUGGCAGAAGCAGCAGAAAGCAGUGGCAGG